CUAAACUGCUUUUAAUUCUGCAACUGUAAUAAACAACACAGGAAUAUAGCCUUUUAAGGACAGUUAAGAGGAGGAGAACAGGGGUUACAUUUAACCCUUCCUGAAGUCCGGAUGUCCCAGGAAGUGUGGCUUGAAAUAUAUACUUUAAGAUGCAGGAAAACACCUUAAUGUAACUCAAAUUUACAAAUCAGAGAGAGAGAUAACCAUCAGUAGCAGACAGUGAAUCACCGGGGAAAACCACUCCAACAAGGUUACAUUCAAAAUGAGUAGGCAAUGUCUUUUGUCACUUGAGCCAAUGUAGGCUGGGUCAGAGCCUUAAAAAAACAGCAAAAUUAUGUAUCUGCAUACAAAUGGAUCAUCUGACUUGAGUAUCACUCAACAGAAGGUUGGCUCUUUCUGUCCAGAAGACCAAGCAAUCCACAGCAUGUUCAUGACCAAAGGCAAUGUACACCAGCUUUGAUUUUUCUCACUCCAAUAUACUCUGAAGCAAUCUGGAGAAUAACUGUUUGAACUCACAUGAGGAUAUUACUGGAGAAAGAAGAAUUACAGGGCCUGACAAAGCAGUUCAAGUGAUUUCUAGAACGUAACCUCUGUGAGCAGAAAAAAAGAAGAACUUCCAUGGCACAUCCUGCCUUUGUUGUUCUGACAAACAUGGCCAGUCAUGAGGAAAUGGUUUCCAGUGGCAUGAAGCUUUCUUCCUCACUUCAGUCUUGCAUACUGU